UCUGACUGUUAAUCAGAGGGUCGCUGGUUCGAGCCCAGCUUCAGGAG
rnacentral:tRNA from 1 species